rnacentral:rRNA from 1 species
UACGAAGGGGGCUAGCGUUGCUCGGAAUCACUGGGCGUAAAGGGUGCGUAGGCGGGUCUUUUAAGUCAGGGGUGAAAUCCUGGAGCUCAACUCCAGAACUGCCUUUGAUACUGAAGAUCUUGAGUUCGGGAGAGGUGAGUGGAACUGCGAGUGUAGAGGUGAAAUUCGUAGAUAUUCGGAGGAACACCAGUGGCGAAGGCGGCUCGCUGGCUCGAUACUGACGCUGAGGUGCGAAAGCGUGGGGAGCAAACAGG